UUAAAGUUAAUCGAAAUUGUAUGGUAGACUAAGCUUUGAACCAACUAUUCCAUUUGAUUAACUGAACACAUCUCACACAAUGAUUUCAACAUCAGUCAAUGCAUAGUAUCUAGGGACACUAUUAUAGCCAUGUGUCUAUGUCCUCUUUUCAUGAGUGUUGUUAGAGCCAAGCCCUUAAGUUCCUAGAAGCGGCCACACUUCCACUCACAUAGGUAGAUCCCAUCAAAAGUGUUCCCGUAAUUAUAACACUCUAACAUAUUUAU
rnacentral:lncRNA from 1 species